rnacentral:rRNA from 1 species
CCUACGGGUGGCAGCAGUGGGGAAUAUUGGACAAUGGGGGCAACCCUGAUCCAGCCAUGCCGCGUGUGUGAAGAAGGCCCUCGGGUUGUAAAGCACUUUCAGUGAGGAAGAACGCCUGGUGGUUAAUACCCAUCAGGAAAGACAUCACUCACAGAAGAAGCACUGGCUAACUCCGUGCCAGCAGCCGCGGUAAUACGGAGGGUGCGAGCGUUAAUCGGAAUUACUGGGCGUAAAGCGCGCGUAGGUGGCGUGAUAAGCCGGGUGUGAAAGCCCCGGGCUCAACCUGGGAACGGCAUCCGGAACUGUCAAGCUAGAGUGCAGGAGAGGAAGGUAGAAUUCCCGGUGUAGCGGUGAAAUGCGUAGAGAUCGGGAGGAAUACCAGUGGCGAAGGCGGCCUUCUGGACUGACACUGACACUGAGGUGCGAAAGCGUGGGUAGCAAACAGGAUUAGAUACCCGAGUAGUC